UGCUCACCUUGCAGGGCGGUAAUAUCGUGGGGGCGUCAACAUCAAAGGCGAUUGGUGGGGGUAACUCAUGGCCGUCCUACCGAAAAGAAGCGUAGUAACUUGGGGAAUCGUUCACGAAUGGCGCUGUCAAGAACGGGACAGAAGUGAGUGACGCUUCAGAGCCUCGGUGCCUCCUGGGCUGCUCUAGGAGCAAAUACACCAAUGCCCAAGGGACAGCCCAUCCCCCCUCGCUCAUUCUCUCCCUCCUCCCCGCCU